rnacentral:rRNA from 1 species
GGGGAAUUUUCCGCAAUGGGGGCAACCCUGACGGAGCAACGCCGCGUGCGGGAGGACGGUUUGUGGACUGUAAACCGCUUUUAAUAGGGAAGAAGUACUGACGGUACCUAUUGAAUCAGCAUCGGCUAACUCCGUGCCAGCAGCCGCGGUAAUACGGAGGAUGCAAGCGUUAUCCGGAAUUAUUGGGCGUAAAGGGUCCGCAGGUGGCUUAUCAAGUUAGCUGUUAAAGGCCGGGGCUUAACUCCGGACGAGCAGUUAAAACUGGUAGGCUAGAGUACGGUAGGGGUAGAGGGAAUUCCUAGUGUAGCGGUGAAAUGCGUAGAUAUUAGGAAGAACACCAGUGGCGAAGGCGCUCUACUGGGCCUGUACUGACACUGAGGGACGAAAGCUAGGG